UUGGAGGGCAAGUCUGGUGCCAGCAGCCGCGGUAAUUCCAGCUCCAAUAGCGUAUAUUAAAGUUGUUGCAGUUAAAAAGCUCGUAGUUGAAUUUCGGGAUUAAUUUAUUGGUCGUGCUAUUGUACGUACUGGUAUUAUUGAUUCCUACCUUCUGACGAACCAUGAUGUCAUUAAUUUGGUGUCAUGGGGAAUCAGGACUGUUACUUUGAAAAAAUUAGAGUGUUUAAAGCAGGCUCACGCUUGAAUACAUUAGCAUGGAAUAACGAAAUAGGACGUUUGAUUCUAUUUUGUUGGUUUCUAGGAUCGACGUAAUGAUUAAUAGGGAUAGUUGGGGGCAUUAGUAUUCAAUUGUCAGAGGUGAAAUUCUUGGAUUUAUUGAAGACUAACUGCUGCGAAAGCAUUUGCCAAGGAUGUUUUCAUUAAUCAAGAACGAAAGUUAGGGGAUCGAAGACGAUCAGAUACCGUCGUAGUCUUAACCAUAAACUAUGCCGACUAGGGAUCGGAUGAUGUUAAUUUUUUAAUGACUCAUUCGGCGCCUUACGGGAAAC
rnacentral:rRNA from 1 species